AUUGGCGAGUAGGACUCUGCAGUACGGAUCAGGAACCCUACAGCCCGAGACAAGUAAACAGUCAACUUGCUAGGAGACCCAUGCCACCCCACGAGGAUGCAAGCAGCUGCCCCCCUCCAGACUUCUUCGCAGGAGAAUUCUAGAGGCCACAGGGCUUUGUGUUCAUGGAGGAUUCCCCUCUGAACAUCUCGCCGGUGAAUCUGGGGCAUGACACUCCCAUCAUUCUUUCUGAGCUUCCAGAUUAUUCCACAGUUAUUGCGAACUCUCUUCAGCAUAUCCAGAAAUCCGCAUGAACCCCAAGCAACAUAAACACAAACCACACUAAGACACUACAGAAUUAAAUUUCUGAAGACCAGUGAUAAGGAAAAAGUCUUAAAGAUGAGAUUAAUUACUGGUUUGUCAUCAAAAAUAAUUCUAACCAGAAGAUAGUGGAACAUCUUUAAAGCAUUAUAAGAAAAACAUGGCCCUAGAAUUUUAUAUCCAGUGGAAAUGUUCUUCAAAGAUGAAGGCAUAAUAAAGACAUUUCAGUUGAGCCAAAGCCAAGAGAAUUCAUCAAUAGCGAAUCUCUACUACAAGCAUGCUAAAGGAAUUUCUUCAGGCUAAAGGAAAAGGAUACCAGAUGGACACAUGAAUUUACACAAAGGAGUGAAGAAUAAAUGCGAGGAGAUAAAUGGACUCAUAAAAAAUAAUCCAAUGGAAGACCGGGAAAGAGGGAAAAAGGAAC